ensembl:snRNA U2 U2 spliceosomal RNA
AUCGCUUCUUGGUCUUUGGCUGAGAUCAAGUGUAGUAUCUCUUCUUAUCAGCUUAGCAGCUAGGGAAUCGGUUUUUAAAAAAACCUAUUUUUGAGUGUUU